UACGAAGGGGGCGAGCGUUGUUCGGAGUUACUGGGCGUAAAGGGCGCGUAGGCGGCGAUCCAAGUUAGGCGUGAAAGCCCCGGGCUUAACCUGGGAAUUGCGCUUAAGACUGGACUGCUUGAGUGCGGGAGAGGUGAGUGGAAUUCCCAGUGUAGAGGUGAAAUUCGUAGAUAUUGGGAAGAACACCAGUGGCGAAGGCGGCUCACUGGCCCGUUACCGACGCUCAGGCGCGACAGCGUGGGGAGCAAACAGG
rnacentral:rRNA from 1 species